rnacentral:rRNA from 1 species
UACGUAGGGUGCGAGCGUUGUCCGGCAUUACUGGGCGUAAAGAGCUCGUAGGUGGUUUGUCGCGUUGUCCGUGAAAACUCACAACUCAAUUGUGGGCGUGCGGGCGAUACGGGCAGACUGGAGUACUGCAGGGGAGACUGGAAUUCCUGGUGUAGCGGUGGAAUGCGCAGAUAUCAGGAGGAACACCGGUGGCGAAGGCGGGUCUCUGGGCCGAUACUGACGCUGAGGAGCGAAAGCGUGGGGAGCAAACAGG